AUGUCGACGGUGACCCCUGCCUACCUCGACCAGAGGCUCGCCGCAGCCAAGCGCUGCUCCAGAGAACUAUGGAAAGGAUUUGUGGAUGAGUUGAUAAAAUCACAAAGAGGAGCUAUUGAUAAUUAUUUUGAGAAUGCCAUUGACGCUUGGACGAAUAUAGAGUUUGUGACAGUAGCUAUGGAUGGGCGAGCUAAUGGAAUACAGGGAGAAAAUGUGAAUCUGGCGAGCGUGAGGAUGCUGCCGUGGGCGAGGGCGCACCUCAACCCCACCGGGCAGGCCCUCAUCAUCUCCACCGUCGCCGGGAUGGCCUACUUCAUCGUCGCCGACAAGACCAUCCUCUCCAUGGCCAGGAAGCACUCCUUCGACGACGCGCCGGACCACCUCAAGAACACAUCCUUCCACUAA
rnacentral:rRNA from 1 species